ensembl:lncRNA
AGGUUUCGAACCUGGCCCUCCUGAUCAAAGGGCAGCUAUUUAGCUCACUGAGCCAAACACUUUCUCACAAAGAAAAGGUGGAGAGAUUGACAAUUGUGCUAGCAGAAUUUGGGCAAAAAAAAGGGGUGAAAAUUCUGCUGAAAAGAGUUCCAUCAGCAGAAUUUCUGCUGAAAAGAGUUGAAUGAGCAGAAUUCUGCUGAAAAGAGGUUUUUGCUGAAAAAGAGCUGAUAAAGUUUGGAUUUGUGCUGAAAAGGGGUUAAAAAAACUGAAAAUUUUGCUGAAAAGGGGUGAAUAAAAUGAAAUUUGUGUUGAAAAGAGUUUAAAAAAAGUUUAACUGUUAAGUGAAAGAAAUGUUGCCAUAAGCUGGAUUUGAACCCAGGCCUCCCAGUCUGAGAACGGAUGCUUAUCUCACUGAG